rnacentral:rRNA from 1 species
UACGUAGGUCCCGAGCGUUGUCCGGAUUUAUUGGGCGUAAAGCGAGCGCAGGUGGUUUAUUAAGUCUGGUGUAAAAGGCAGUGGCUCAACCAUUGUAUGCAUUGGAAACUGGUAGACUUGAGUGCAGGAGAGGAGAGUGGAAUUCCAUGUGUAGCGGUGAAAUGCGUAGAUAUAUGGAGGAACACCGGUGGCGAAAGCGGCUCUCUGGCCUGUAACUGACACUGAGGCUCGAAAGCGUGGUGAGCAAACAGG